GUGCUCCCUUCGGCAGCACAUUUACUAAAAUUGGAACAAUACAGAGAACAUUAGUUUGGCCCCUGUGCUUGGAUGACAUGAAAAUUCGUGAAGCAGUCCAUAUUCUU